rnacentral:rRNA from 1 species
CGGACGGGUGAGUAACACGUGGAUAACCUACCUAUAAGACUGGGAUAACUUCGGGAAACCGGAGCUAAUACCGGAUAAUAUAUUGAACCGCAUGGUUCAAUAGUGAAAGACGGUUUUGCUGUCACUUAUAGAUGGAUCCGCGCCGCAUUAGCCAGUUGGUAAGGUAACGGCUUACCAAGGCAGCGAUGCGUAGCCGACCUGAGAGGGUGAUCGGCCACACUGGAACUGAGACACGGUCCAGACUCCUACGGGAGGCAGCAGGG